rnacentral:misc_RNA from 1 species
GUAGGUGAACCUGCGGAAGGAUCAUUAACACGUAUCCAUGUAUCAACACUCUGUGAACUCAAAAUCUCCCUGUCAUUGGAGGUGCUGUCAACAUGAUUAGUGAUGGGUGUAUAGCCUAAAAAACUAUACGCAAUCAUGUUGGCUAGGGCUUCGAGCCCAGUGCGCACUGAUGAUAGGCCUUCAUUUCUAUCACUACCAACAAACACUUUUAACUAUAGCUCAUCUUGACUGAUGUACUUAUGUAAGAGAAAUCUGGCAUGAGUCUUUAUCUAAACUAAGCACAACUCUUAGCAAUGGAUAUCUUGGUUCUC